GUGCUUGCUUUGGCAGCACAUGUACUAAAAUUGAGACAAUACAGAGAAGAUUAGUGUGGUCCCUGUGCAAGGAUGGCAUCUAAAUUUGUAGAAGGAAAAAGUUUAA